rnacentral:rRNA from 3 species
AGACCCGAAACCCGGUGAUCUAGCCAUGGGCAGGUUGAAGGUUGGGUAACACUAACUGGAGGACCGAACCGACUAAUGUUGAAAAAUUAGCGGAUGACCUGUGGCUGGGGGUGAAAGGCCAAUCAAACCGGGAGAUAGCUGGUUCUCCCCGAAAGCUAUUUAGGUAGCGCCUCGUGAAUUCAUCUCCGGGGGUAGAGCACUGUUUCGGCUAGGGGGCCAUCCCGGCUUACCAACCCGAUGCAAACUGCGAAUACCGGAGAAUGUUAUCACGGGAGACACACGGCGGGUGCUAACGUCCGUCGUGAAGAGGGAAACAACCCAGACCGCCAGCUAAGGUCCCAAAGUCAUGGUUAAGUGGGAAACGAUGUGGGAAGGCCCAGACAGCCAGGAUGUUGGCUUAGAAGCAGCCAUCAUUUAAAGAAAGCGUAAUAGCUCACUGGUCGAGUCGGCCUGCGCGGAAGAUGUAACGGGGCUAAACCAUGCACCGAAGCUGCGGCAGCGACACUGUGUGUUGUUGGGUAGGGGAGCGUUCUGUAAGCCUGCGAAGGUGGCCUGUGAGGGUUGCUGGAGGUAUCAGAAGUGCGAAUGCUGACAUAAGUAACGAUAAAGCGGGUGAAAAGCCCGCUCGCCGGAAGACCAAGGGUUCCUGUCCAACGUUAAUCGGGGCAGGGUGAGUCGACCCCUAAGGCGAGGCCGAAAGGCGUAGUCGAUGGGAAACGGGUUAAUAUUCCCGUACUUGGUGUUACUGCGAAGGGGGGACGGAGAAGGCUAUGUUGGCCGGGCGACGGUUGUCCCGGUUUAAGCGUGUAGGCUGGUUUUCCAGGCAAAUCCGGAAAAUCAAGGCUGAGGCGUGA